GAUGAACGCUGGCGGCGUGCCUGAUACAUGCAAGUCGAGCGAACAGGCGAGGAGCUUGCUCCUCUGACGUUAGCGGCGGACGGGUGAGUAACACGUGGAUAACCUACCUAUAAGACUGGGAUAACUUCGGGAAACCGGAGCUAAUACCGGAUAAUAUAUUGAACCGCAUGGUUCAAUAGUGAAAGACGGUUUUGCUGUCACUUAUAGAUGGAUCCGCGCCGCAUUAGCUAGUUGGUAAGGUAACGGCUUACCAAGGCAACGAUGCGUAGCCGACCUGAGAGGGUGAUCGGCCACACUGGAACUGAGACACGGUCCAGACUCCUACGGGAGGCAGCAGUAGGGAAUCUUCCGCAAUGGGCGAAAGCCUGACGGAGCAACGCCGCGUGAGUGAUGAAGGUCUUCGGAUCGUAAAACUCUGUUAUUAGGGAAGAACAAAUGUGUAAGUAACUAUGCACGUCUUGACGGUACCUAAUCAGAAAGCCACGGCUAACUACGUG
rnacentral:rRNA from 1 species